rnacentral:rRNA from 1 species
UACAGAGACUGCAAGCGUUUAUUCGGAUUCACUGGGCGUAAAGGGUGCGCAGGCGGCCAAGUGUGUGAGGCGUGAAAGCCCGGGGCUUAACCCCGGAAUUGCACCUCAAACUACAUGGCUAGAGCAUUGGAGAGGGUAGCAGAAUUCAUGGUGUAGCAGUGAAAUGCGUAGAUAUCAUGAGGAAUACCAGAGGCGAAGGCGGCUACCUGGACAAUUGCUGACGCUCAGGCACGAAAGCGUGGGGAGCAAAAGGG